rnacentral:tRNA from 1 species
AUUUAUUUAAWUAUAAUAAGUAUCUUUGACUUCCAAUCAAAAAGUUUGUUUUAAACAAAAUAAAUA